GAAAAUCAAUGGAGAUACAUUUGUCAAAUUUUGCAGCAGGAACUAGCCCACAGGAAGACUGUGGGGGAGAGAGGUAUUUCUGUCAACCCCCGCUUCAGAGAAUGAACAGACAUCUGCUGUCCUCGGGUGCAUGAAGCACUGCCACAGAGUACAGCAGGAGCAGAGCAGCCCAGCAGAGUGGAGCACACAAUCUGGGGACAGGCUGAAAACUAAAGCCAGCACGGCUCUCAUUCGGUGAAGGCUUUUAACAAACAGCCUGGCUCACCCGUGCAGGAGGCUACAAAGGUCACCUCUAUAUCAUUGACACAGUCACACUUCACUUCAGGACAAAGAGAAAGAUGAAGAUGAAGGUCUGAGGUGUUCAACAGUGGCCAGGACGGGUCUCCGGCACCCCAGAGGACGAGAUGAUGCGUAGCGGGAAAUGCAUUCGACUGCAUGGAGGGUCUACAAACACAGCUAAAAAAA